GACGAACGCUGGCGGCGUGCUUAACACAUGCAAGUCGAACGGAAAGGCCCUGCUUUUGUGGGGUGCUCGAGUGGCGAACGGGUGAGUAACACGUGAGUAACCUGCCCUUGACUUUGGGAUAACUUCAGGAAACUGGGGCUAAUACCGUAUAGGAGCUCCUGCUGCAUGGUGGGGGUGGGAAAGUUUCGGCGGUUGGGGAUGGACUCGCGGCUUAUCAGCUUGUUGGUGGGGUAGUGGCUUACCAAGGCUUUGACGGGUAGCCGGCCUGAGAGGGUGACCGGCCACAUUGGGCCUGAGAUACGGCCCAGACUCCUACGGGAGGCAGCAGUGGGGAAUAUUGCACAAUGGGCGGAAGCCUGAUGCAGCAACGCCGCGUGCGGGAUGCCGGCCUUCGGGUUGUAACCCGCUUUCGCCUGUGACGAAGCGUGAGUGACGGUAAUGGGUAAAGAAGCACCGGCUAACUACGUG
rnacentral:rRNA from 1 species